rnacentral:tRNA from 4 species
GCCGAAGUAGCUCAGUUGGUAGAGCAAUUCACUCGUAACGAAUAGGUCGUAGGUUCGAUUCCUAUCUUCGGCACCA